GAUGAACGCUGGCGGCGUGCUUAACACAUGCAAGUCGAACGGGAUCCAAGGAGCGUUUUUCGUUUUUUGGUGAGAGUGGCGAACGGGUGAGUAACACGUGAGUAACCUGUCCUUUUCUUUGGGAUAAGCUCCUGAAAGGGUGUUUAAUACCUUAUGUUCUGUCUGCCUCGCAUGGGGUGGGUGGGAAAGAUUUUUUCGGUGAAGGGUGGGCUCGCGGUCUAUCAGCUUGUUGGUGGGGUGAUGGCUUACCAAGGUUUUGACGGGUAGCCUGCCUGUGAGGGUGGUAUGGGUCAUAUGGACUGUGAUACGGCGCAUACUCCGGCGGGAGGUAGAAGUGGCGGAUAUUACACAAAUUGCGCAAGCCCGAUGUAUCGUAGCCGCGCUGGGGAUGUUGGCUUUCAGGUUGUAAACCUCUUUUGCUCUGAACAAGGCGCAUCUGUGGGGUGUGUUGAGUGUAGGGGUUGAUUAGCUCCGGCUAACUACGUG
rnacentral:rRNA from 1 species